CUUGCAUCAAAUAGAGGAAGGACUAACUUAGAUUUUGAUAUAUUACAGUUGUAUUUCACUUAAAAAUUCACGGAGAUAUUAAUCUUUAAAAUCGGGAGCAUAUUUCUGGAUGUGUCUAAAAUAUGCAAAAAACGGCGUAUCAAAUAUUAAUCAAGAUUUGCCCGACUGAAACAUGCACUAUUACCAGUAAAUAAAUGACACUUGACAAAUUGUUUAUUAUGAAAGAAAGUAUUAUUAUAUCUACAAAAUACAAGCAGAUUUAUUCGUCCAAAUUCGCGUGUGUUCCUAGCACGAAUACGUUUCCUUAUUUCAUGAGACCACUAGCUGCAUCGCGAAGGAUCGUCAUGGAUCGAUCGUUGUUCUGAAUUAGGGCAUGCUGUCACAAUGGAAUUGUGAAGCUCUUCUAACUUCUGCAACGUUCUGAAAUCUUGUUAAGAACACCCAAACUC